rnacentral:rRNA from 1 species
AAAGCGUGCGCAGGCGGUUAUAUAAGACAGAUGUGAAAUCCCCGGGCCUCAACCUGGGAACUGCAUUUGUGACUGUAUAGCUGGAGUGCGGCAGAGGGGGAUGGAAUUCCGCGUGUAGCAGUGAAAUGCGUAGAUAUGCGGAGGAACACCGAUGGCGAAGGCAAUCCCCUGGGCCUGCACUGACGCUCAUGCACGAAAGCGUGGGGAGCAAACAGGAUUAGAUCCCGUGU